AUGAGACCAACAUUUAGCAAGGCAGGAAAACAUUCAGUCUACCUGAAGAAAGACGUAUUUCAUUAUAAAACAGAAGCUAAAGGAAAUGGGUAUAGAAAAGCAAACAAAAGUGACAUGGAGAAUUCAGGCAAAUGGAUAUGUGUUUUCACAAGUUACACAUUUUUAAGUUUCAGCGGCAGCAGUGGUGGUCCUUGCUCACUUUGACUCCAGCUGUUUCCUCAGAAGUGUCAACACUGUGGCAGGACAUAUAAAAGGAGUAAAUCAUGCAACAUUAGUUCAUGUGAUUUAUAUUUUGUGAACACUGUCAACAACCUUAAAACUAUUUUAUUAUUUAAUGAUUUAACUUGGUUUAUUUUAGCACAGCUGUGAUUUCAUUAAGUAGUAG
rnacentral:lncRNA from 1 species